rnacentral:rRNA from 1 species
AAAGAAAUCAGUUCAGCACUAAGUCACUUUGUCUAUAUGGCAAAUGUGAGAUGCAGUGUAUGGAACAUCAACAUUCUAGUAUGAGAAAUUAACGAUUUAAGUCCUUCUUAAAUGAGGCCAUUUACCCAAAGAGGGUGCCAGGCCCGUAUAACGUUAAUGAUUACUAGAUGGUGUUUCCAAAGAGUCGUGUUGCUUGAUAGUGCAGCACUAAGUGGGUGGUAAACUCCAUCUAAAACUAAAUAUAACCAUGAGACCGAUAGUAAACAAGUACCGUGAGGGAAAGUUGAAAAGAACUCUGAAUAGAGAGUUAAAUAGUACGUGAAACUGCUUAGAGGUUAAGCCCGAUGAACCUGAAUAUCCAUUAUGGAAAAUUCAUCAUUAGUUAUAUAAUAUUUAAUAAAUAUUAUAGAAAUAGUGUGCAUUUUUUCCAUAUAAGGACAUUGUAAUUUAUUAGCAUAUUCUAUUUAUCAAAAAAUUAUGACAUGAAGUUUAUUUUAAUUAUUGUGUUCGCGCAUUAACAUAAAAUAAAUGUUAUAACUUUGAUAAAGUGUUGAUAGAUUUAUAUGACUACAGUGCGUUAAUUUUUCGGAAUUAUAUAAUGUCAUAAUUAUCAUUGAUUUUUAUGUUUAUUAUAUGCACUUGUAUGAUUAA